rnacentral:rRNA from 1 species
CCUACGGGAGGCUGCAGUGGGGAAUAUUGCACAAUGGGCGCAAGCCUGAUGCAGCCAUGCCGCGUGUGUGAAGAAGGCCUUCGGGUUGUAAAGCACUUUCAGCGAGGAGGCGUUACUCGCAGAAGAAGCACCGGCUAACUCCGUGCCAGCAGCCGCGGUAAUACGGAGGGUGCAAGCGUUAAUCGGAAUUACUGGGCGUAAAGCGCACGCAGGCGGUUUGUUAAGUCAGAUGUGAAAUCCCCGCGCUUAACGUGGGAACUGCAUUUGAAACUGGCAAGCUAGAGUCUUGUAGAGGGGGGUAGAAUUCCAGGUGUAGCGGUGAAAUGCGUAGAGAUCUGGAGGAAUACCGGUGGCGAAGGCGGCCCCCUGGACAAGCUGACGCUCAGGUGCGAAAGCGUGGGGAGCAAACAGGAUUAGAUACCCUUGUAGUC